rnacentral:rRNA from 1 species
UCGAGAAUCUUCCGCAAUGGGCGCAAGCCUGACGGAGCGACACCGCGUACAGGAUGAAGGCCUUCGGGUUGUAAACUGUUGUCACGCUAUGGGAAUCGUUCGCGGUAAAUAGCCGCGAUCCUGACUAAAGCGAGAGGAAGCACCGGCUAACUCUGUGCCAGCAGCCGCGGUAAGACAGAGGGUGCAAACGUUGUUCGGAAUCACUGGGCAUAAAGCGCACGUAGGCGGUCCAUUAAGUCAGGUGUGAAAGCCCCCGGCUCAACCGGGGAAUGGCACUUGAUACUGAUGGGCUUGAGGAUGAGAUGGGUGGGCGGAACUCCAGGUGGAGCGGUGAAAUGCGUAGAUAUCUGGAGGAACACCGGUGGCGAAAGCGGCCCACUGGACCAUCACUGACGCUGAGGUGCGAAAGCUAGGGUAGCAAACGG